AUUCUAAUGCAACAACGUUUGUAACGUUCAUUUUGAUUGGAUAACGUCACUUAUUUACAUGGCAUCAAUUGACAAUUGAUGCUAUGGGACGUACGCGCAAGCGCAGACGGCAUAUGACAGAUUUUAAAACAUGUUUUAACGUUGUUUUCUGUCAGUUUCAUUAGAAUGGAGAUAACAAUAUUGUAUUUUAAGCUCCGACGGCAUCAAUUGGGAUUUGAUGGUCGCAAAUACCCGUUUACUGUCUCCGCUUACGCGUCGCCAGUAAACUUAAUUUGCGACCAUCAAAUCCCCAAUUGAUGCCGUCGGAGCUUAAAAUACAAUACAGUUAUCUCCUAAUU
rnacentral:lncRNA from 1 species